rnacentral:rRNA from 1 species
GACGAACCGUGCGAACGUUAUUCGGAAUCACUGGGCUUAAAGCGCGUGUAGGCGGGAGGGCACGUCCGUCGCUGAAAUCCCCCGGCUCAACCGGGGAACGGGCGCGGAUACGACCUUCCUUGAGGGGCGUAGGGGGACCUGGAACUUCCGGUGGAGCGGUGAAAUGCGUUGAGAUCGGAAGGAACGCCCGUGGCGAAAGCGAGGUCCUGGACGCCUACUGACGCUGAGGUGCGAAAGCCAGGGGAGCGAACGGG